rnacentral:rRNA from 1 species
GACGAACGCUGGCGGCGUGCUUAACACAUGCAAGUCGAACGGAAAGGCCCUGCUUUUGUGGGGUGCUCGAGUGGCGAACGGGUGAGUAACACGUGAGUAACCUGCCCUUGACUUUGGGAUAACUUCAGGAAACUGGGUCUAAUACCGGAUAGGAGCUCCUGCUGCAUGGUGGGGGUUGGAUAGUUUCGGCGGUUGGGGAUGGACUCGCGGCUUAUCAGCUUGUUGGUGGGGUAGUGUCUGACCAAGGCUUUGACGGGUAGCCGGCCUGAGAGGGUGAACGGCCAGAUAGGGAGGGAGAGAGAGACGAGACAGAUACGGGAGGGAAGAGGGAGGAAGAAAGAACAAAGGGCGGAAGCAAGAUGGAGCAAGGCAGGGUGCGGGAUGAAGGAAUUCGGGUGGGAAGCAGCUUUCGCCUGUGAGGGAGGGUGAGUGAAGGUAAGGGGUAAAGAAGCACGGGUUAACUAGGU